UACGUAGGGGGCGAGCGUUGUCCGAAGUUACUGGGCGUAAAGCGCGCGUAGGCGGCUAUUUAAGUUCGGGGUGAAAGGUUCAGCGCUCAACGUGAACAGUGCCCUGAAUACUGGGUAGCUUGAGUUCGGGAGGGGGCAGUGGAAUUCCGGGUGUAGCGGUGAAAUGCGUAGAUAUCCGGAGGAACACCGAUGGCGAAGGCAGCUGCCUGGCCCAGGACUGACGCUGAGGUGCGAAAGCGUGGGGAGCGAACGGG
rnacentral:rRNA from 1 species